ensembl:lincRNA
AUGACCACAGCCUCUGUCAGCCGCGCCCCCACCCCCACCCCCACCCCCGCACCGUGGCCCCUGACGCGGAGGGCACACAGGCGUCUGUCACACUUCAGCAUUGUUUUCCUGCCUAUGCUUUCGAUCGCUGGUUUUAUUCCAACCCAUUCUCACUUUCUGUCUUGGAAAAUCACAAGGAAACUCCACGCUACUCCUGGAAUCCUUGCCAACGUGACUCAAGCGGAAUUGAGCACACGGCACUGGGUUCGCGCACAAACAAAGAUGUUGCUACUUUCGGCUCAGCGGCCUCCUUCCCGACAGCUUGGCUCCUCCCACCCUCGCCCAGGUGAAAAGAGGGUCGAGUGGGUGAGAGGCUGGGCCAGCACAGGAGCCGCCAGCCAGCUGGCUUCCCCAGGGCUGCCCACGGGGUGCUACGGCGGUGUCCCAGAACCGGUGGGUAAAUGUGGAGGUCGGAGGCCACAUGGGGGUGACCAGGAUGCUUCCUGCAGCUCAGCCCCGCCUGACGCCCCACUCAGCUCACUGCGAUUUCUACAUCCUGGCCUCUUCCCUGUUUCCUACUAUCUUGUGCCUGGGGAACUGAAUGGUCAAGGCCACUGCUCAUCUGGGCCCUGCAGGGCCAGCCUGGAUCUUGCUACAACUCCAAAGGCCUUGAAGAGGACUUCAUGGGCCCUGUGCGCCAUCACUGAGCUGCCUUGUUGGAUUUGGGUCCCACCGCCUACCAUUUAUUCCUCUGAGCAGCCUACGAGUACCAUCUGCCCUUCUAGGUAGGGCCCAGUCCUUAGCUCUUGCGAGGCUCCCUGUCCUGCCCCAUGUUAAGCACAGUGACUCAGUCAGUGGCUGCUGAAUGGGUUUGGCCUUCAAAAAAGGAGAAGGCUGUCUGGACACAAGGUACUCAGGAGGCUGAGGCAGGAGGAUUGCUUGAGUUUGGGAGAUCGAGGGCAGCCUGGGCAAUACAGUGAAACCCUGCCUCAAAAAUAAAACUAAAAACAGAACAUGCCAGCAGGAAGGGCACUCGACCUGUCACUGUUAUAUAGUAAGCAGAUGCCUUGGUGACGGGGCCAUAUUAAGUCCACUCGAACCUUGAAAGGCUGCUUAUUUCCCUGGUGAGAAUGGAGGAGACAGAGAGCCGGGGGAGGGAUCCUCUGUUCUGCCUUCAAGUUGCUUCGGGACCAGGAGGCACAAAGCAAGGGUUCGUGUUUCUCCUUCGAGAAAUUAGGUCACUGGGUGUCGUUAAGUGUGCCUCACAGAGCUAUGCUAAUCAGUUCUCUUCUGGCCUAAAUAUCUGGUAAUUAUCUUGGUUUUUUGCUUUGUUAGACUUGGCUUCCUAAAACAGUUCAUCCACGCUGUUACUUCUGGGCUCCUGCUUCUCCGGAAUAAUAUUAACCACCGUCCGGCAGCCAGCGCGCCUCUCCCUCGCCUCAUGAGGGGUGAUGUUCUGAGCCUUUACCCGCACGGACUCUUCAGCUCUCCCGCAUCUCGGGUUUAGAGCUCAGGACCCAAAGCUCACGGCUUCCGGGUCUCGGCCCCACUGUUUCAGCUCACCCCGCUCGCAGCGCCUGCCCGGGGCACGGCCAGCCCGUGGGUUUCCAGCGCACCCCAGGGCCCUGCUCUCUCCCUGUGCCCUUGGCUUCUUGUAUGAAUGAGGCAGGGUUCCCAGGACCGAGGUUUAUCACGGGGGUUGGCCCGUGUGAUUAUGCGGGCUCUAAGAUCUCGCGACACCCGCUGGGGAACCAGAAG